CACUUCCCCAAAAUAGAAGCUGCUUAAUGCUCUGACUGAUUCCCUGAUGUAAUCAGAUAUCUUCAGAGUCUAUCGAAACAGAGGAGAAGAGGAACAAAGAAUUGCUGAUUGAUGAUGGAUAAACAAGCAAUUUUCAGGUUGGGAAAGCUGGCCACUGAAAGCUAUGAGAAUUCUGCCUUCCAGAUGAGCUCUGAGCGUACUUGACCAGGCCUACCUCUGUGGCCCUUGUGGAAGAAAGAAAGAAAGAGGAAAGGAAGGUGGAGAGAUUCCCCAUGUGAGAAAGACUCCAGACGACAUCAUUGGCCCUGAAGGGGGAGGGACCAAGUCAAGGAUUGCAAACAGCUCCUAAAAGCUGAGAACCACCUCCAGCUGACAGAGGGGAGGGACGGAACAGUCCUUCUGCAACCACAAGGACCUGGAUUCUGCCCACAGCCCAAAGGAGCAGCUCUUUUCGAAUCUUCCAGUACAGAGCCAGUUGGCCGACUCCUUGAUUUGGGCCUCAUGACACCCGAAGCAGAGGACCCAGCUGAACACAGCCACAGCUCCUGACCAACACAACUU